rnacentral:rRNA from 1 species
GACGAACGCUGGCGGCGUGCCUAAUACAUGCAAGUCGAACGCAGUUGCGAACGGGUGAGUAACGCGUAGGUAACCUGCCUCAUAGCGGGGGAUAACCAUCGGAAACGAUAGCUAAUACCGCAUACCGUGAGAUGGACCUGCGUUGUAUUAGCUAGUUGGUGAGGUAAAGGCUCACCAAGGCGACGAUACAUUGCCGACCUGAGAGGGGGAUCGGCCACACUGGGACUGAGACACGGCCCAGACGCCUACGGGAGGCAGCAGUAGGGAAUCUUGGGCAAUGGACGAAAGUCUGACCGAGCAACGCCGCGUGAGUGAAGAAGGUUUUCGGAUCGUAAAACUCUGGUGUUAGAGAAGCGGUAUCUGACCAGAAAGCCACGGCUAACUACGUGCCAGCAGCCGCGGUAAUAC